rnacentral:lncRNA from 1 species
UGGCCUGUGCCUCUGGCCUCAGCAGUGGCUGUAGUGCUGGAGAUUUCUCCUUAAGUCCCAAAUCUGCUUUGAAUGUCCAGUUUUAAAUUCCAGUAAAGUCCCACCCCCUUUUUUUGGUUCACCCACCUUGCAAAGACGCUGCCUGUCUGCUUUCUCGGUUUCAUGUCAUGGAGGAAAGCAACCCUCUCUAUUCAGCCAUCCUCAAAGUCUCCAGAUGUGAGUUCUAAGUGAGUUGGUCCACGUGAAAUCUAGCCCAGCAUGUGAUAAGUGCUCAGUAAACGUGUUAUGACUUUAUUAUUAUCAUUUUGAUUUGUGUUUUUGCUCUUUAUGUGUCUUAUGUCACCACAUGGACCUCCAUAGCACAGUCCAGCUCGUUCAUGCCCCGAAGGGACAGCCAUGUUGCAGAUGGGGGCCACAUGAACCAUCAGAUCACCCCUUCCUUCACACAAAUGCCAGUUCCUCCGGAAGAAGCCGGUGUCACACAGCACUAUGGACACAGCCUGGGGUCUACUCUAGUUCCUCUAUCUGCCAGCUGCACGGCCUGGACCAGUCUCAAAUAUGUACAUCAGAGAGAAUCUGCAAAAUCAGCAGAAAAUCAUCAGGGACUGUCCUGCUGUCAGAAUAAGGCUGGGUUCCCAGGAGAACUAACUGGCCAAGUUUGUACAAGUCAUCCCACAUCUGCUAGUCACAACCCCCAUUGAACUUCCUUAAACUCAUUUUGUAGUUUUUGUUUUUAAUACGGCCUGAGGGAGGCUUCUGUAAUCUGUUGAGCACAGGGCCUGUGAGGGUCUCGGUGGCUGCGCUCUGAAAUGCUGCAGACCCAUGAACUCCCAUCCCCAGUAUUUCAUGAGGUGCAGUCAUUAGCUUGUUGAUCAAGUCUACCUGGGACCAAGGAUACUUUUCGCUGCCAUGAUCACUGGUCUGACAAACUUAACUUUGAUCUCAACUAUAAGCCUCAGUCUCCUCAGCAACCUGAGGGGUGGAGAGUGGAUAUAAAAUCAGGACAGGGCAAGGCCCCAAGCAGGUUCAGGGGAGGCCAGGGAGUAGCUAGGCCUGGCCAAGUCCCUCACAACUGUUCCUUGAGGUUCUGUGGCUCUAAACAGCUCACGGAAUUCAGACAGAGGCUAUGAGGGCGAGUGAGCACCUGGUCAAUGCACUGUGACACCUUUCUCCUCGGAGGCUGUGCGUAACACAGGUCCUGCCAUGGGAUGCAGCCUGAGCCCAGUGACCUGGGAGCAGGUGGGGAGGAAGAGGAAGAGAGAGGCAGAGACUAGAGAGGGACCACCUGUCAAAGCAGC